AAAAGCCCUUGCUAGACCUAAGGCUCUGUUCCCUCUAAGCUCUGUGCCUGUGAGCAUGCACACAGAUCCUAAACCCCACGCACACGGCGAAACACCGCACGCACAAAAAUUUGCACAGAAGCACAACAAUUUGCACAGAAGAAAUUUUUUGGGCACA